rnacentral:lncRNA from 1 species
UUUUGACCACCAAAAAAUAAAUAAAAUACCAAAAAUAAAAGAUUUGUACACAUAUAAAUACAGAUUGUAUGUUCUUAGAAAAGCACAGGAAGUGUGGAGAAAUUGCUUUGACACAUGAAAAGGAAGCAAAACAACAACCCACAACACCAAACAGGAUAAGAGUUUUCGGAAGUGGAUUUUUCUGGUUACUGUCUUCGCCACGUAAUCACGAACGUGUCAAAGCGCGUGCUCAUCAUGCCUCCCUGUUUCGCCGGCGGCGUACGUUAGCCUUUUCCCCUCCCCCCUUCAAAACUCAUGUGACUCACUGUUGUCUAUAUAUAUACCUCUCCACCUUUGCUCCCUCUUUCUGAACCACUUUCUAGCUCCGUUAUCCUCCACCCCUUCCUUUAACCUGCGCACACCCCCUCGAUCUUAUGACUCUCCGUCUUCCUCCUUUCAAUUGAUGACAACAAACCCCGUUAUCUGGAAGCUCAAACGACGACGCCGACGCAUCGGUGAAGGGUAAUUUCGUAAUUUCACCGAUCGCCGACCUGAAGAAACUCCCCCUGGUUCGGUUUUUGGCGCACCAUCUUAAUCUAGUCCAGCCUCGAAUGGACGUCCUGGUGGGCCCGACCUUCUCCAUCGACGUGUCUUCCUACGGCCCUGCGCAGACGCAGGACAACCGCCACCGCAGUGGCCUGUACUUGAAUCAGAACCGAGGCGCCGCGGUAGUGGAAGAGGCCUCGUCGGACAGCUCGUCAUCGAUCGGAGUUCCGGAUGACAGCGAGGAAGAGGAAGAUUCCAAAGGUGAUGACGGCGAUGAGGUGCAGAGCAAGUUUAACAGUGGCGGAGGAAGUGGACGAGGAUUAGGUUCUCUGGGUUCAUUCGGAUCACUGGAAGAGUCUCUUCCAAUCAAGUAAACCCCUCCGGAUCUGCAAAUUUUAAUCCGAAACCGAUCAAAUUUAUUGAAUUUUCAGUUUUUGGUCCGUCAUGUAAUUAAUGGAUUAACUAAUUAAUCACUUUAAAAUUAAUUUUAAUUUUGUUUUAAUUUGUUCAGGAGGGGAUUAUCCAACUAUUUUUCAGGAAAAUCAAAGUCAUUUGCCAGCCUGUCAGAAGUGUGUAGCUCUGUGAGUUCAGUGAAGGAGGUAGAGAAGCGAGACAACCCGUUCAACAAGCGGCGGCGGGUUCUGAUCGCCUCCAAGUGGUCGAGAAAAUCUUCCUCGUCCUCCUCCCUCUACAACUGGCCAAACCCUAAAUCCAUGCCGCUGCUAGCCCUAGCCGAAGAAGGAGACGAAGACGAUGACGAAGAACAGAACCGUGACCGGCAAG